rnacentral:lncRNA from 1 species
CCUCUUACUUUUGAUCGAACAGAUGGGGAUACUGGGCUCUAAAUUCUGAUUCCAGUUCCCAAGUAGCCUCCCUGGGCGUGUGGUUCUGCCACACGACCUUUACAAAUGAUAUUUCCCGGUUGCGGAGUAUUCUGCUCUCUCGGUCCGUGAUACCGACCGGUAUUUCUUCAUAAGACAAGUCCUCUUGGAGUGGAAGCAGUUCAUGAGCCAAG